CCACAGUACAUGUUUAUUGGAUGAAUAAAUGAAUGAGUCAUCAACAGACAUUUAUUGUGUGC
rnacentral:pre_miRNA from 1 species